rnacentral:rRNA from 1 species
GACGAACGCUGGCGGCGUGCCUAAUACAUGCAAGUAGAACGCUGAAGGAGGAGCUUGUUUCUCUGGAUGAGUUGCGAACGGGUGAGUAACGCGUAGGUAACCUGCCUGGCAGCGGGGGAUAACUUUUGGAAACGAUAGCUAAUACCGCAUAAUAUCAGUUGUUGCAUGAUAACUGUUUGAAAGGUGCACUUGCACCACUACCAGAUGCACCUGCGUUGUAUUAGCUAGUUCGUGGGGUAACGGCUCACCAAGGCGACGAUACAUAACCGACCUGAGAGGGUGAUCGGCCACACUGGGACUGAGACACGGCCCAGAAUCCUACGGGAGGCAGCAGGAGGGAAUCUUCGGGAAUGGACGGAAGUCUGACCGAGCAACGCCGCGUGAGUGAAGAAGGUUUUCGGAUCGUAAAGCUCUGUUGUAAGAGAAGAACGAGUGUGAGAGUGGAAAGUGCACACUGUGACGGUAUCUGACCAGAAAGGGACGGCUAACUACGUG